UGGGGAAUAUUGGACAAUGGGGGCAACCCUGAUCCAGCCAUGCCGCGUGAAUGAUGAAGGCCUUCGGGUUGUAAAGUUCUUUUGGUGGGGAUGAUGAUGACGGUACCCACAGAAUAAGCUCCGGCUAACUUCGUGCCAGCAGCCGCGGUAAUACGAAGGGAGCUAGCGUUGUUCGGAAUUACUGGGCGUAAAGGGCGCGUAGGCGGUUCGACAAGUCAGAUGUGAAAGCCCUGGGCUUAACCCGGGAACUGCGUGUGAGACUGUUGUACUUGAAUUCGGGAGAGGUUGGUGGAAUUCCCAGUGUAGAGGUGAAAUUCGUAGAGAUUGGGAAGAACACCCGUGGCGAAGGCGGCCAACUGGACCGACAUUGACGCUGAGGCGCGAAAGCGUGGGGAGCAAACA
rnacentral:rRNA from 1 species